rnacentral:tRNA from 3 species
GCUAAGGUGGCAGAACUCGGCUAUUGCAAAAGACCUAAGCCCUUUCCAUAGAGGUUCAAACCCUCUCCUUAGCU